rnacentral:rRNA from 1 species
GGCGUACUGCUCAGUAACACGUGGAUAACCUGCCCUUGGGUCCGGCAUAACCCCGGGAAACUGGGGAUAAUUCCGGAUAACGCACAUAUGCUGGAAUGCUUUUUGCGUAAAAUGGAUUCGUCUGCCCAAGGAUGGGUCUGCGGCCUAUCAGGUAGUAGUGGGUGUAAUGUACCUACUAGCCUACGACGGGUACGGGUUGUGAGAGCAAGAGCCCGGAGAUGGAUUCUGAGACAUGAAUCCAGGCCCUACGGGGCGCAGCAGGCGCGAAAACUUUACAAUGCGGGAAACCGUGAUAAGGGGACACCGAGUGCCAGCAUCAUAUGCUGGCUGUCCAGGUGUGUAAAAUACACCUGUUAGCAAGGGCCGGGCAAGACCGGUGCCAGCCGCCGCGGUAACACCGGCGGCCCGAGUGGUGAUCGUGAUUAUUGGGUCUAAAGGGUCCGUAGCCGGUUUGGUCAGUCCUCCGGGAAAUCUGACAGCUUAACUGUUAGGCUUUCGGAGGAUACUGCCAGACUUGGAACCGGGAGAGGUAAGAGGUACUACAGGGGUAGGAGUGAAAUCUUGUAAUCCCUGUGGGACCACCUGUGGCGAAGGCGUCUUACCAGAACGGGUUCGACGGUGAGGGACGAAAGCUGGGGGCACGAACCGGAUUAGAUACCCGGGUAGUCCCAGCCGUAAACGAUGCUCGCUAGGUGUCAGGCAUGGCGCGACCGUGUCUGGUGCCGCAGGGAAGCCGUGAAGCGAGCCACCUGGGAAGUACGGCCGCAAGGCUGAAACUUAAAGGAAUUGGCGGGGGAGUACCACAAGGGGUGAGGCUUGCGGUUUAAUUGGAGUCAACGCCGG